CAAUACCAGCGGCGCACGGGUGAGUAACACGUAAAGAAUCUGCCCUAAAGUGGGGAAUAACUAUCCCAACGGAUAGCUAAUACCGCAUAAAGACGAGAGUGGCAUCACUCUUAAUCGAAAGGCUUCGGCCGCUUUAGGAUGACUUUGCGUCCCAUUAGCUAGUUGGCGGUGUAAUAGACCACCAAGGCUACGAUGGGUAUCCGGCCUGAGAGGGUGUACGGACACAUUGGGACUGAGAUACGGCCCAGACUCCUACGGGAGGCAGCAGUAGGGAAUUUUGCGCAAUGGAGGAAACUCUGACGCAGCAACGCCAUGUGUGGGAUGAAGCAUUUCGGUGUGUAAACCACUGUCAGCGGGGAAUAAAUAGCUUCUUCGGAGGCGAUUGAAUGUACCCGCAAAGGAAGCCCCGGCUAACUUCGUGCCAGCAGCCGCGGUAAUACGAGGGGGGCAAAUGUUGUUCGGAAUCACUGGGCGUAAAGGGAGCGUAGGCGGGCUCUUAAGUUAGGUGUUUAAUCCCGGGGCCCAACCCCGGUCGUGCACUUAAAACUGGGAGUCUUGAAUAGUUGGAGAGGUCAGUGGAAUUGGGGGUGGUAGCCGGUGGAAUGCCUUAAAAAUCCCCAAGAACACCAGUUGCGAAGGCGGCUGACUGGACACAUAUUGACGCUGAGGCUCGAAAGCAUGGGGAGCAAACAGGAUUAGAUACCCUGGUAGUCCAUGCUAUAAACGAUGAAUACUAGGUUUUGGGCCCGUCAACGGUCCAGAGCCGCAGCUAACGCGUUAAGUAU
rnacentral:rRNA from 1 species